rnacentral:sRNA from 1 species
AUUAGGCGACAAACACGUCUGCCCAUUACCAGGUCACGGCACUACCCCGAUCGCCUCCGCCAGCGGUGACGU